CGAAGGGGGGCGAAAGCCUGACGGAGCACGCCGCGUGAGGGAUGAAGGCCUCUGGGCUGUAAACCUCUUUUAUCAGGGAAGAAGAUCUGACGGUACUUGAUGAAUAACCCACGGCUAAUUCCGUGCCAACAGCCGCGGUAAUACGGGAGUGGCAAGCGUUAUCCGGAAUUAUUGGGCGUAAAGCGUCCGCAGGCGGCCCUACAAGUCUGCUGUUAAAAAGUGGAGCUUAACUCCAUCAUGGCAGUGGAAACUGUUGGGCUCGAGUGUGGUAGGGGCAGAGGGAAUUCCCGGUGUAGCGGUGAAAUGCGUAGAUAUCGGGAAGAACACCAGUGGCGAAGGCGCUCUGCUGGGCCAUCACUGACGCUCAUGGACGAAAGCCAGGGGAGCGAAAGGGAUUAGAUACCCCUGUAGUCCUGGCCGUAAACGAUGAACACUAGGUGUCGGGGGAAUCGACCCCUCCGGUGUCGUAGCCAACGCGUUAAGUGUU
rnacentral:rRNA from 1 species